AGACCAAAAGUUUGUGAGUCCUGGUUCAAGUCCCAGGGACUGCUGAGAAAAGAGUGUUUUGCUGCUGUCUCCAGUGCUGUUUCCUGUCAGCUACUCUACAGUAGAUUCCCUUCAGGAAGCCUGCCCUGGCUGAAUGUGUGCAGGCCAGAAGUUGCUCGUGGACUCAACAAUUUCAGGCAUGAUUAAAGGGAGAUGGACCAAAGCCAUGUUAAAGAGAAAGAAGUACUGCCAGACCCUGUGAACCAUUUUAUUGCUUGAUGUAAGAAGAAAAACAUUUACUGUUUCCUUUGGUUGAGUGUUCCCAGGCCCACAAGAAAGCCACUCGCAGCCACAGGGGAACUGCCCGCUUCCUGCUCUUGGAUCAAGGUUGAAAGCAAGCCUGUAUCAUCCCAUCUGCACCAAAUGCUGACAGGAGAAAGAUGUUGGAUGAAUAAGGCCAGAAGUAAACGGUGAUUCUUCUCUGUGUUUGCCUCAGAAGAGGGUGGAAAGUUUUAUCUCACAGGGCAGAGAUGGAGCAAGGUGGACAUUGACCACAAAGGACAGAGCUGAGGGAAGUGACCUGCUCUCAUACAUUACCUCUUACGUCCCAUUCCUUUUCUUUACCUCAGGACUGCCUUUUGGGUUGGCAAAGAAUGAUGUUCCCAGUGAAAUCAGAAAACAAAACCGCAACGCUUCCUAUUUAGUAAAACUGAUUACUAAUGCUAACAGGAAUUGCGGUCAACACUCUCCGGGACAUGAAAUGUAGUUUAUUAUCUUCAUUACCAUCUCAGUAAAAUACUUCAGAUGCAAUUAUCAGUGGUAAUAAAAACACUUAUAUCCUGAAUGUUCACCAUAGGUCUCUUCUCAGGUCUCCUCUAAAACAGUCCAUAUCAGAACCUCACUUUUAUUCACCUUCCUGAGGCAGAACCGCUAUAUAUACACUGUUAAGUUACUCAGCCCUGACAUUUUGAAAGAGUCCAGGUGAGAAUUUGUGAGGGAUAUAAUAUUUUACUUCUGAAGGUGGUAGUGUGAAAGUGGAUACCUUUGUUUUCGUCUGUUUAGGUUCUAUAACCAAGACUGCAUUCAGAAAAAAUAUUGAUGUGUGCUGGGAGGAGAGGAGACUUAAAGUGCUGCUUGCAAAAAUAAAAAAUAAAAACACAAGAACCUGAGAGCAUGUGGACUGCCUGUGCCUAAAGUAAAAGUAUUUUUGUGAGCACUACAUCAAUAAAGCCGC